GGGACUUGCAAGCAGAGCAGGGGGUAUGGGGAGAGCAUAAAUGGAGAUGAGACUCUGUUCACACUCUUUCCUGAUAUCCCUGUGUUUUCAAAGAGAAAACUGUGUCAAAACCAGGGAAGGGGAGGGGGGAGGUGAAAAAGGACAUUUUCCAAGAACUCCAGGCCUACAGUCCUUAGUGCAACAGUACCUGUUGUUUACAAAGAUUCAUCUGCCUCUGUCCUGCAUUUCCCUCCGUGGACACCAGGGCACUGUCUGAUCAUCUGGUCUUCUCAGUCCCCGGCAAAGUUCACGGACCCUGACACACCCUGCAGCUGUCUCCUGAAGGAGUCAGAGUGGACCACUGAAUCCCAGCUGCUCUUCUUUCAAACGAUGUGACCUUGGGAAAGUUACAUAACCUGUCUGUGGCUUUGUUUUCUUCCUUAUAAAUUGGGGUAAUAACACCUACGUGUAAAAGUUA